CCCCCCCCACCCCCCCUGCGGCCCCCGCAGCCGGUUAGCCUGAACUCUGGCACCGCCCCCCACGCACAGUCUGGGCCUCUGCCGCCCGCCCUGCCUCCUGUUGCCCACAUCCCCGCGGCCCCUGAGCCCAGAAGCAUGCUUCUAAAGGCGACCCAAGGACGCGACCGGUGGCAGCCGGGUCACCAGCCAGCCACACAAAGGAGACCCUGAACCUUGCCCGAAUGACUGCCACCUGGGCCACCUGGGCCACCUGCGUCACCUCCUUCGGGUACCCUGAAUGCCGAGGUAUGCCUGGCACUCCGAAGGGCAUCAGGAAGUAUCUUAUGGGUCUCUUGGGUUUCUUAGAUGCUGAGGCAACCUGUUACCGAAAUACUCUACUGACGGCCCCCAAAACAGAUCUGGUUUUGCCCACAAAUACAGAAGCUUGGCUUUUGAGAUACAUGGGAACCCGUGGCUCUAUGGGAGGUGGGGUUCCCUGCAUGGGUGUGGCAGCCUGUUCACAGAUGCUCCCAGCGUUGCGCCUUGGGGGAGAUCGCUUCAGCCAUGGUAUACUGGUGGCGUCUCUCAGUGGGACCUUGAGAGUGUCUCAGCUGGGUCUUCAUCUGUCUGUGGGUCCAUGGCUUUGUGUCACUGUCAAUAUGCCCACUGGCCUCUUCCACUCUUGCAACAUUCUCCCGCUGCUCCUCCAGAGAAAGCCUGGAGCCCUUCAGGGAUGGGGCGCUGGCCCCGCCCAGCCUGCAGGCUGUAGGAUUUAUGGGCCCCUGGGCAGGCGGGUAGCAAGACCUGAGGAGAGCAUGUGGGGGGGUGGGAGUGGGUAGCCUGCAUUCAGAGGUGUGGCCGGCAGCGGGGUGGAGCCUGGAUCACGUUGGGCUUCUUAGCUGUAAGCAGUGCCUGCUGCUGACCCUCAGCGGACCUCCACCGACCAGAUGAACGGAAUCCAGGCCUCACACCCCUGCAGGGCAGAAAGGGCCACUUUACCCAGGGCCCCUUUACUCCCUUCUGGUCCCUGAGCAGCACCCUUUCCAGGGGGACCCCUCCAUGUAGGUCACCCACCUUGUCCUGCCUCACCAGAACCCCUUCCUAGCACUUCCUGUGACUUGGUGACAUGUGUGUAGGUUUGUGCGUUUGCUGAGCUUCACUGACCCCGGUCAGAGGGCACCUUCAUUGGGACCCAUCUGUCUUGUUCGCGGGUGUAUGACCAGCACUGAGAAGGAUACCCGGCGUGCAGUAGGUACUCCCGGCAAAUGCAUCCCCGUUUUACAGGUGGAAGAUGGCCUCCCAGAGGUAACACUCACCCCACUGGAGUGACAGGGGAGGUCACUGUGCCCCACACCUGCUGCCCAGGGGCUGCCAGGUGCCGUGGGACUACCCUAUCCGCGAGUUCCCAGGUGGGCAGUGGUUCUGGCCACACCGCUGGGGCCUCACACAGACAGUCUGUUACCCAAUCUCACCAUCGUCCCCAAUUUUCUCCUGGGGAAAUGUUGAAAGAAAAAACACUUUUCUUCUGAUGGGACAAGGGAGGAGGGCUUGGGAGCUGGAGAUGCCCAUGGAGGGGGGCAUCAGGCUCCUCCGGUGUAGAUCUGAAAGAGAUUCUCAAUACUGUAAAGUCCUGUUUGGAAAGCUGAUAAGGGACACCUGGGUGGCUCAGCAGUUGAGUGCCUGCCUUCAGCUCAGGUUGUGAUCCCGGGGUCCUGGGAUCAAGUCCCACAUCGAGCUCCCCAGAGGGAGCCUGCUUCUCCCUCUGCCUGUGUCUCUGCCUCUCUGUGUCUCUCAUGAAUAAAUAAAAUCUUUACAGAAAAAUAUAAAAAAUAAAUGAAAAGCUGACAAAACCUUUUUCUUCUAGAAGGUGAAGCCCUGAAGAAUCUUCUGGGUUGGUGGAGAGAAGAGAUUUUCUCUUAAAUCAGUGGCUCUCAACUAGUAGGGACCAGCAUGGCUCUGCUCAGAUUCUGCCCUGGAGCAUCACCAGAGCAGGGAAGCCCGGUUUGAUGGGCAGGGACAUGCCAGCGUCCUGUCUGGCCCUGUCAGGGUGCUCGGGGUCCCCACAAUGACCCAGGGGAGUGCUGGGUGAGUUCAUCACUGAGUCCAUCCCAGUCCCUGCCAGGUAACAGCUGAGAGCUCUCCUGGGCAUCUCUGGGGCUCAGCACAGCAUGUGACACCAGGUAACACAUUUGAAGCUGAGUGGUCACCACCACCUAAGGCCCACAGAAGCCCACCGCCAGGAGAAGGGGCCAUCACUGGGUACCAGGUGCCGGGCAACAGGAGACACUCUGGGGACAUGCUGGCUCCCACAGGCACAGCCACCAGAGGCUGACCUGCCCACCGGCCCAUCCACCCACGACUUCCUCCUGCUGGAGCCAGCCUGGGGCUCCAUAGCCUCCAGGGUUCUCUCCGGUUGGGUGACACAUCUGGAGGGAAGGGCCAAGGCUGUUUCAUGCCCGCAGCUGAGAUAGAGUGAGCAUGAUGUGAUCCCUCCCCGCCACACGGCAUCCGGGGCAGGGGUGGGGCACCCAGCCUCUGAAGUCUCAAGAUUUGGCCCCAUAGUCCACUUGCCCAAUGCACCAGAGCCUCGGUUCCCUAUCUAUAAACUGGGACACUAGUGUCACGUGGCAUGGCUGGGAUGACCUGAGCACAUGACCCAGGCUGGCCCAGCAAAGGCCACUCCUGACUUUGCAUCUUCUGUGUGGAGGUAGGUUCCCAGUGUCUUCACACUUGCCAGGGAGGAAGUAGCACCAGGGACCAGGAUGGAAGCCCAGGAAGGGGAGUCAGCCAUCCUGCAGGAUCAGGGAUGCCAGC
rnacentral:lncRNA from 1 species